rnacentral:ncRNA from 1 species
GAAAGGCUGCAGGCGGCUGCAGCUGGGCGUUUGUGCGCCCCAGUUAGA